UUUCCCUUUAAAAUCUUUCCACAUACCAUUUGAAUAUGGGUGAUACAUUUUAACUUCUUAUCGUUUUGCAUGUCGCCUGCUUAGAACGCCUAGAAAUUAUUUACAGCAAAACACGAGUUUAAAUGCAUUUCAAAACGACGACGACCUUUGUCCAUGACACUGCAGGUGAUUAACAGAUUGUAUAUAUUACAGUGGGUUAAAUUACAGUAUGGUGCUGCAUGAUUAUUCAAAGUCCCGUUAUGGUUAGCGUGCCUUGUUUUUAGGAUUUCAGCCGUAUGAAACAGUAUUUUUCGCCUUUUAUCUGUUGUGCCCCUUUGCAGCUCGAUAGGCAACUUAACGCCUGGCGAACGCAAAUUUUACUCGAUUCCCCGGCUAGGCCUAGCUUGUCCUGGACUACAUUUCCCAGCAGUCUUCGCUCGGAGCGCGAGACUGGUCGUCAGGUGCCCACACCCCUCUAUAUUUUCGCGCCGAGAUUUGCUCUUCCUCCUCACGCGAAGAAACGGGAGGGGGGAAAUACAUCCCAUUUCCCAGCAUUCCUUGAGGCAAGGGCUUUAAAGCGAGUUCCUGUUUGCCCGAGGGGAUUAAUUGACCGGCGCCGUCUUUUCCUCGGGGGCCGCAGCAGAGAAGGUCGAGAGCACCGACCUCCCAGCCCACCCCCCGCAACCCCGCUCCGUUGCCGGUCUGUUCUUGUUCAAGAUGGCGCUGGAAGGCUCUGUGACGGGCCAGGCCUACGAGUCACGUGGACAGAGCCAAACAGAAUUGAUAGCUGAGUGCUUGAACAUGCACUGCCAAAGAACUUAACAAAUGGAAAAAUUUAAAAAGAAGGUGCAGUAUGUACCUAUGCAACUAUAGUUUGGCUGAGACAGCUCAAAAGAAAGCUGAAGGAUGGGGAAUUGUAGACUAUAUCAUAUUUUCACUGACAGCAUUCACCAGCUAUAUGCCCCAGAAAAGAAACUCACAGCAAUACUACCCAAAAUAAGUUUUUAUAUUUAUUUAUUUUUUACAAUAUCAUUUUAAAACUUUGUUGUGCAUACAUUUUCCAGCUUCCUUAUUUCAUUGCACUUAAAAGUUUCAAAACACAUAAAAUAUAUCCCUUUACUAAACAUUUUUGUUCUCGGGUUACAAAAAAGUUUUGACAUUUCACAGUCACCACGCUUAAGUACAUUGAUCCAAACAAUUUUUAUCCAGAAGACUCUCUUCAUUGUUUGGAAUGCUGAGCCCAGAAUAUAGUACAUUCCUCGCUUACAGUCACUGUGCCAAUAAAGGAAGAAAAUGGCAAAAUUAAACUGAAAUACAAUGGAACAUCAAAGUAAAGUGGAGGUUGACAGGGAGAAGCCUCCUUCAAGUAUAAUGUAGGUAGAAUUUGGCAGAAUGAUUGAAGAGGUAUUUGGCCACUGUCUAUGUCAUCUUCAUAUGACAGGAAAGAAAAAUUACAAGUGUGCAAUUUUCACAUAACUCACAACAUAAGAAACAAAACUGCAAGAGUGCAUUAAGCAAAGGGCAAAGGACUAAAAUAAAUUUAGUAGGAUUGUGCUGUAUGAAAGACAAGUACCUGUAAAGUUCAAGCAACAACCUACAAAAUGUUUUAUUUCAACAUCUCACUUAGCGAAGUACCUUGAAGAACGUUCUUAUAGAACAGGUAUCCCGGACUGCUAGUUUUAAAACUGACAAUGCAACUCUCUUUAUGGACAUUGGGCAAGUACUGAAAAACAACUCUUUGAUUAUUUGAUAAAAAUAGAAUAAUUUUGGUAAAUUCUGAUUAGGAAGAAGUUAGACAUUUUGAGUUACAGCUGUCAGAUAUUUACUGUAAAGGGGAAUUUCCCUUGUACUGUAUGAACUGGAAAGGGCAGACAGAAUCAGGAGGUUGUUCUAGAAUGUUUUAAAAUCGGGAGAAGGAAAGAGUAGAUAAGCUAAGCGAUGUAAUAAAAUGUGUCUCGGGCAAUUUCUGUAGUGCUGAUUUGCAAAUUUGGACAAUGUUAUCAUUGAAUAUUUACAAUCAGAUAGCAAACAUUGAUCAUGUGGCUGUAGCAGCUCCAUAAGACAAGUGAAUUUCCUCUCUUAUCUCAAUUUUUAUUUGCCUAAAAGCUCUUCCAGUUCUGGCCUAGGUGAGAUAGUUGGUAUGAAAGUCUGAGUUUUCCCCAUUUUCUUUAGGCAAGUUAUUCUAAUAAUUUCCGACACUGUUACCAACACUGUUGAAAUAGAUGGUGGCCCAGUGACAAUUUUCCAACCCUUCACUUUCCCAAGCUAUAACCUUCAUUUCCAGUAACCUUUCACCUUUAAGAUAUAUGUAACUGGUUUACUUUUAAGCACGAUUUUCAACCUUGUCUUGGGUUAUUAAACUGUUGAUGCAGCAGCAGCAGCAAAGUGAAUUAAUUCUAGACAAUACUGAAUUCCAUAUUGCAAUUUCUUUUUAAAAACAAAAAACAGUAUUACUACACACCUGGAAAUCAGUUACUGAAGUGUGAAUGGAAUUUUGCUGUCCAGUUUGCAUAGCUCUCAGCUAGGCUUGGCAAAUGUUCUAUGCUGCAGCCCAAUAAUAAAGCGCAUGGGGCAAGAUCCAUCCCUCACUGAAUGCAUGAGCAGAAAACACUUUUGCUUACCCACAGGAGCAAAGCAACAGUUCCAAAAGUAGCCUUAAAAUUUAUAGGAUGUCAGUCUGGAGGGUUUCCAGUAGUGGGAGGAGGCUUUUAAGGGGGGUAGGGGUUGCCACUCACUUCUGUCUGAAUCCUGUCUACUGGCUCUCAUAAAAUAUAUUCAU